CCUACAGGUGGCAGCAGUGAGGAAUAUUGGUCAAUGGGCUUACGCCUGAACCAGCCAAGUCGCGUGAGGGAAGAAGGCUUUCGGGUUGUAAACUUCUUUUCUCAGGGACGAAGCAAGUGACGGUACCUGAGGAAUAAGCCACGGCUAACUACGUGCCAGCAGCCGCGGUACUACGUAGGUGGCAAGCGUUAUCCGGAUUUAUUGGGUUUAAAGGGUGCGCAGGCGGAUUUUUAAGUCAGCGGUCAAAUCGUGGGGCUCAACCCCAUCCAGCCGUUGAAACUGGGGAUCUAGAGUGUGCGAGAGGUAUGCGGAAUGCGUGGUGUAGCGGUGAAAUGCAUAGAUAUCACGCAGAACCCCGAUUGCGAAGGCAGCAUACCGGUGCACAACUGACGCUCAGGCACGAAAGCGUGGGUAUCGAACAGGAUUAGAUACCCGUGUAGUC
rnacentral:rRNA from 1 species